UUGGGUUUUGUCUCCUUUUGGCAGCAGCCCGUGACCUCCAGCUUUCCACUUCCUCUACUGCCAUGUCCGUGAAUCAACAUCCUCCUUCUCUAUUUCCAAUGGACGUUAGUUUCAAACAUGGUGGCCCUCUCUCGGUCCAGCUCUUUUUCGGGUGGCUUCUGGAAACGUUGCCAAACCAAGCUAGGAAAACUCCAUUGCGUCAGCUGAAAUGCAACUCUUCCUUCAAUCUCCUCACAGCUUCAUCUCCGACUAAUUCACGUGAAUCCAAGCUGCUAGAAUGAGCUCUCCAAGCUGCUAAGCAUGAGCCUCUUGAUUGAGAAAGUAAUCAGCCACUCUCGUAGGUGGCAGCUGCUUGACGUUCUCCCUUCCCACGUGUUUCCUUCUUCACUUUCCAUGCUAGACGUGAAUCAACUGUGCUGCUGUACAGGGACGUGACUGUGUGGGCACUGCAUCUCCUUUGUUGCUGCCCAUCUUCUAGACCGUGAAAACCAUGAGUACCUCUGCCCACCGUGAAGCUUGCUGGACUGUUAUUUCAAGUUGCAAUUUUUUCUUCCAAGCUCUUUCGGUGGCUCUCUUUGCAUGGACUUUCCUACUCCGCUGUUUCUGCUGAACUGUUGGAGAUGACUGGAUGCAUGGACGUCUGGAUGGAGUUACACCGCUUGCUGGAAUGGAGAACACCACUGCUGGACGUGUGCUGCUCAAAAGGGGCAGUGAGCCCUAUUAGAGGUUGCUUCACGGUGCUGGAACGCUGCUGGAUGGUGAAGUGCUUUCAACGGAACUGUGCAGGUGGAAGGCUCCCUCCUUGCUGUAAGGACCGUGAUUUUAGGAGUGGUGGGGACACGGUGGUCACCCACCUUUUUCUUUAUUGGAAACAAUUAUUGGAGGAAGGGAUAAGAAAAGGGGGAAGGGGGGGUCCCAUUUUGGUACGGGGGAGGGAGAGUUCACAGGGAGAACCCAUUCUUUCUCUCUUUAACACUUCAUUUCCAACUUCUCUUGUUUCUUCUCUUCACGGGGAAGGAACUAUUUGGUCACGGAUACUUAUUGGUGUGUGGGAGGGGAUCCAGAGAAAAGAACAGGGAGGUAUCAGCAGGAGAAAAAGGGAGAAACCUGAGAGAGAAUGGAGGGCAAAAUAAUGUAUUGAAGGCUUGGAGGAGCACUGGAAGUUGGGACUGAGAGGAAGGCCAGGAGGAAGCAGCAAUCAAAAGGAGAAAGGGAGAAAGGAAAAGGGAAAAAGGGAACCAGAGAAGAAGGAGGAUUCUAUUGGAGAAGGACCGGAGAGAGAACCUGUGGUAGAAGAUCAAGUUCUUGAAGGAAGUCUUCAAGAGAUGCAGGAUUGUCGCUGGAUCCUGUACACACGAAGGAAGAGAUGGAAGAACAACAUAGAGGGAUUCAAUGUUAUAGUUAUAAUUAGAUCUGAACUUAAGUUAUAUGUUUCGACUUAAGUAUGAGAUUACGGAGUAUUACCGUAAAUGUAUUAUUGCUAUAUUUAAAUUUUGAAUUCUUUUAAAAGGGAAAUUUUUGGGAUGUUACAAUAAUUUUAAUUCAAUUAUUUUUUUUCUGUUA